rnacentral:rRNA from 1 species
CAGUAGCCGCGGGAAAACGGAGGGAGCUAGCGUUGUUCGGAAUUACUGGGCGUAAAGCGCGCGUAGGCGGUUACUCAAGUCAGAGGUGAAAGCCCGGGGCUCAACCCCGGAACUGCCUUUGAAACUAGGUGACUAGAAUCUUGGAGAGGUCAGUGGAAUUCCGAGUGUAGAGGUGAAAUUCGUAGAUAUUCGGAAGAACACCAGUGGCGAAGGCGACUGACUGGACAAGUAUUGACGCUGAGGUGCGAAAGCGUGGGGAGCAAACAGGAUUAGAUACCCCUGUAGUCCCUGUCUCUUAUAA